CAUGCAAGUCGUACGAGCUCGAUCUUCGGAACGGGUUAGUGGCGCACGGGUGAGUAACACGUAGGUGACCUACCCCAGAGUGGGGGAUAACUUCUCGAAAGAGAGGCUAAUACCGCAUACACUCGGUCAUUCAUUUGGCCGAGCAAAGCUCCGGCGCUUUAGGACGGGCCUGCGUCCGAUUAGCUAGUUGGUAGGGUAAUGGCUUACCAAGGCUUUGAUCGGUAGCUGGUCUGAGAGGACGAUCAGCCACACUGGCACUGACACACGGGCCAGACUCCUACGGGAGGCAGCAGUGAGGAAUAUUGGGCAAUCGGCGAAAGCCUGACCCAGCAACGCCGCGUGAGGGAUGAAGGCCUUCGGGUUGUAAACCUCUUUUCUGGGAGAAGAGACAAGGACGGUAUCCCAGGAAUAAGUCUCGGCUAACUACGUG
rnacentral:rRNA from 1 species